UACGAAGGGUGCAAGCGUUGAUCGGAAUUACUGGGCGUAAAGGGCGCGUAGGCGGCCUGUUAAGUCGAACGUGAAAUCCCUGGGCUCAACCCAGGAACUGCGUCCGAUACUGGCAGGCUUGAAUCCGGGAGAGGGAUGUGGAAUUCCAGGUGUAGCGGUGAAAUGCGUAGAUAUCUGGAGGAACACCGGUGGCGAAGGCGGCAUCCUGGACCGGUAUUGACGCUGAGGCGCGAAAGCCAGGGGAGCAAACGGG
rnacentral:rRNA from 1 species